CUAUUGACGCACGAAGCAUUUGGCACGAGUAUAAGCUCAGCAAUAUUCCGGUACAGAUUGAAGAUGCAAAUUCAGCUGAAUGCACAUCUUCAACCGAUCCUCGGAUCAAAACUUUUGACGGAGGGUACUAUUCCAAUCAAGAAGAAGGGGAGUUUAUCCUUGCUAAAGCUAUGGGACACGAUUUAUAUUUUGAGGUGGGGUUUGGAUA